AAAGAAGCUACUACUCGUUCUAGGAAGGACCUGCGUUUCUGCAAAUUGUAAAGCUUGCCUACAGCGUUUGUUUCUUAUAUAGUAAUUAGGAUGGUCGAGGUUGCAAGUGUUGAGCGUUGUAUCGUCGGUGAUGAUAGAGAUGUUGCAGGAAUGGGAUGUAUUGGGAAUUUACGUUCAACAUGACACCAAUAUAAACACUCUAGUCAAGAUGACAUGGUUGCUGGUUGUCACAUUUGGUGCUAAUUUCAUCCGU
rnacentral:lncRNA from 1 species